GAUGAACGCUCGCGAUAGGCUUAACACAUGCAAGUCGAGGGGCAGCAUGGUCUUAGCUUGCUAAGGCUGAUGGCGACCGGCGCACGGGUGCGUAACGCGUAUGCAACUUGCCUCACAGAGGGGGAUAACCCGUCGAAAGACGGACUAAUACCGCGUACACUCUAUGUUGGGCAUCCAAUGUAGAGGAAAUGAAAUUCGCUGUGAGAUAGGCAUGCGUCCCAUUAGCUAGUUGGUGAGGUAACGGCUCACCAAGGCGACGAUGGGUAGGGGAACUGAGAGGUUGAACCCCCACACUGGUACUGAGACACGGACCAGACUCCUACGGGAGGCAGCAGUGAGGAAUAUUGGUCAAUGGGCGAGAGCCUGAACCAGCCAAGUCGCGUGAAGGAUGACUGUCUUAUGGAUUGUAAACUUCUUUUAUACGGGAAUAACAAGAGUCACGUGUGGCUCCCUGCAUGUACCGUAUGAAUAAGCAUCGGCUAACUCCGUG
rnacentral:rRNA from 1 species